rnacentral:misc_RNA from 1 species
UGUAGCACACAUGGGUACAUUACCUGAAGCCCAUUUUUAACGUAUAUCGUGUAUAUUUUGUUCAGGCAUGGCAACAAGGCUAUAACGGCCUCACAUGUAACAUUAUCUGUCUUACUGAAAUGAAAAGUUAUACACUGGCUCAUGAUCACAAUCACGUAAUCGGGGCCUGGCUUAUUGCUGAGGAUUAUGACAUACUUUAUAGUAGAGAGAAACAAUACACUUCUUCAUCAUCAGUCUCGUGGUGACCUGUAAACCAUCGUGACACCUGCCAAAGAAACAUGUUACCUUGCUUGAACAGGUUCGUUUGUAAUAUAUACUUUUAUGUCAAACUAAUAUUUGAAUAAUUGUUAGUUUUAUUUUAGUAUCAAAAUGUGCAAAUUACGAUUCACGUAAAUAGUAUGCCUUCAAAACAUUAUCCAUUCAUGUAAAUAUUAUCACCAAUCAGUUAUGGUCGUUACUAUUAUGACAUUUGAUGUGGUUUUGGAGACUUUGUAUCAGCUUUGACUCGUCAAGACAAGCUGGUACAUGUUAACAACGAUUAUAAUGGAUGUUCGCUCACAGUGCUGCACCAGUGGUUCAGGAUGAAGUUUGAUGUAAUUCUUGAGGAUCACCUUGGACCAUUUGGCACUUUCCAGAAACGGAUCUUUCUUCUUCUGUGUAUGCCUGCAUUAUUUGCCGGUCUACAGUUGUUGAGCCAUGUCUUCACGCUCAAUGUACCUAAACACAGAUGUGCUCUACCCGGGAUCAGUAACGACACUUUUACCAUACAAGGACCUCACCACGAGCUUCUUCUCAACGCCACCAUCCCCUGGACUAUAGAGAAAGGGAUCAGUGUGAGGGACCCCUGUCGCAUCUUCAAAGAAAAUAGUCCGAUGGGUAAGAACAGAUCCGCCCAGGAAUGCCAUGCCUGGGUGUACGACAAGUCCAUUUUCAAGAACACUGAUGUGACAGAGCUGAACAUGGUAUGCAGCAACAGCAGCUUGAGGGCUUUGACUAACAGUAUUCUGUUUGUCGGCCUGCUCUGUGGUUCAAUCAUUUCCGGCAUCAUAUCUGACCUGUAUGGACGCAAACAUGCACUGUUGUCAGCUGUAGCGCUUCACCUUGGCUCGGGCAUAGGAACAGCAUUUUCCCCAAACUUCAUGGCUUUUGUCAUAUUCAGGUUUUUCAAUGGGGCCUCAAGCAUUGCCCUUUUGAUAUCAUCCUUUGUUUUCGUUAUGGAACUCGUUGGUCCCUCCAAACGUACAUUGGCUGGCAUUAUCAACAAGCUCUUCUGGUGUUUGGGCCUGUUCAUGGUUGGAGGUCUCGCAUACCUCAUCCCAGACUGGCACCAUCUUCAACUCGCCAUCUCUGCACCUGUUGUCCUCCUCUUUGGAUUUUACUGUUUCGUUCCCGAGUCUCCAAGAUGGCUGUUGUCAAGAGGUCGUGAGAAGGAGGCAGAGAAGAUUCUGCGACAAGCAGCACACGUGAAUGGAAGUACUCUGCCAGACGUGUUGUUUGACCAGGACACUCUUGAUAAUGGCCCACCAGCUAAGAUUACGGAGAUGUUCAAAUCACCAGUCCUACUUAUUAGAACACUCAUCAUUUUCUUCAACUGGUUUGUGAUCAUCAUGGUGUUCUACGGGCUAGCCCUGAACGUUGACGAUCUUGUCGGUGACAUCUUCCUCAACUACACCAUUGGGAACAUCGCGGAGGUCACGGCCAUCGUCCUGUGUUUGUUUCUACUGGACAAACUAGGAAGAAAAGUUCUUCAUUGUGGAAACAUGUUGUUGGGGGGCACUGCCUGCCUUGCCACCAUCGUCCCCAUAAUGUAUGGAGGUCAAGAAGACGAAUGGAUCACAGCAACCCUGGCCAUGAUUGGAAGGUUUGGAGCAACUGAUUGCAUCAUUUACAUAUUUUCUGCGGAACUGUUUCCAACGGUUGUACGAAACUCCGGAAUCGGCAGCAGCUCCUUUUCAGGACGCGUUGGUGCCAUAAUCUCCCCUCAUAUUGUAAGCCUGCAAAGCUGUCCCCCUCGCCGUGUUUGGCUCUCUGAGUGAGGUGGCGGGAAUACUCGCCCUGUGGCUGCCAGAAACGAUGCAUAAAGAGCUACCAGAAAGUAUCAACGAUGCAAAACAUUUUGGGAAUAAGAUGUCCCAUCACAUGGACCACACGGAUGAAUCUAAAGUUCAGGGUGACAACCAAACAUCCAGUGAACAAGGCUAAAUGAUGAAGAGCUGAACAAAGCUUUGUUUCAUACUCAAGUAUUUAAUAAUGUUAAUAUAUUUAAAAUGUAAUCAAUGGUUCAUCUAUAUUGUUAUAAAAGUGUGAACAAUAACACAAUUUCGAGAAACUUGCUAUAUUGUUGCUAUUUGUCCAAUUUCUGUGUGAGCACCUCAUGACAAAAUAUCUCCAUGUUAAUAUGUUUGCUUUUUUAUGAGGUAGCGAUAACAUGUUCCCAUUUUAUGGGGUUUAUUUCAAUUAAUAAAAUCAUUUAUGAUAAU